rnacentral:rRNA from 1 species
GACGAACGCUGGCGGCGUGCCUAAUACAUGCAAGUAGAACGCUGAAGGAGGAGCUUGCUCUUUCCGGAUGAGUUGCGAACGGGUGAGUAACGCGUAGGUAACCUGCCUGGUAGCGGGGGAUAACUAUUGGAAACGAUAGCUAAUACCGCAUAACAGUAGAUAUCGCAUGAUAGCUGCUUGAAAGGUGCAACUGCACCACUACCAGAUGGACCUGCGUUGUAUUAGCUAGUUGGUGAGGUAACGGCUCACCAAGGCAACGAUACAUAGCCGACCUGAGAGGGUGAUCGGCCACACUGGGACUGAGACACGGCCCAGACUCCUACGGGAGGCAGCAGUAGGGAAUCUUCGGCAAUGGACGGAAGUCUGACCGAGCAACGCCGCGUGAGUGAAGAAGGUUUUCGGAUCGUAAAGCUCUGUUGUAGGAGAAGAACGAGUGUGAGAGUGGAAAGUUCACACUGUGACGGUAUCUUACCAGAAAGGGACGGCUAACUACGUGCCAGCAGCCGCGGUAAUACGUAGGUCCCGAGCGUUGUCCGGAUUUAUUGGGCGUAAAGCGAGCGCAGGCGGUUAGAUAAGUCUGAAGUUAAAGGCUGUGGCUUAACCAUAGUACGCUUUGGAAACUGUUUAACUUGAGUGCAAGAGGGGAGAGUGGAAUUCCAUGUGUAGCGGUGAAAUGCGUAGAUAUAUGGAGGAACACCGGUGGCGAAAGCGGCUCUCUGGCUUGUAACUGACGCUGAGGCUCGAAAGCGUGGGGAGCAAACAGG